rnacentral:rRNA from 1 species
UACGUAGGGCGCAAGCGUUAUCCGGAAUUAUUGGGCGUAAAGAGCUCGUAGGCGGUUUGUCGCGUCUGCCGUGAAAGUCCGGGGCUCAACUCCGGAUCUGCGGUGGGUACGGGCAGACUAGAGUGAUGUAGGGGAGACUGGAAUUCCUGGUGUAGCGGUGAAAUGCGCAGAUAUCAGGAGGAACACCGAUGGCGAAGGCAGGUCUCUGGGCAUUAACUGACGCUGAGGAGCGAAAGCAUGGG